GUCUACGGCCAUACCACCCUGAAUGCGCCCGAUCUUGUCUGAUCUCAGAAGCUAAGCAGGGCCCGGCCUGGUUAGCACUUGGAUUGGAAAAGCAAAAUUCAACCUCUCCCACCUGCCCCCAGGGCACUGUGGUGG
rnacentral:rRNA from 1 species